rnacentral:rRNA from 1 species
UGGGGAAUUUUGGACAAUGGGGAAAACCCUGAUCCAGCCAUCCCGCGUGUGCGAUGAAGGCCUUCGGGUUGUAAAGCACUUUUGGCAGGAAAGAAACGUCAUGGGUUAAUACCCCGUGAAACUGACGGUACCUGCAGAAUAAGCACCGGCUAACUACGUGCCAGCAGCCGCGGUAAUACGUAGGGUGCAAGCGUUAAUCGGAAUUACUGGGCGUAAAGCGUGCGCAGGCGGUUCGGAAAGAAAGAUGUGAAAUCCCAGAGCUCAACUUUGGAACUGCAUUUUUAACUACCGGGCUAGAGUGUGUCAGAGGGAGGUGGAAUUCCGCGUGUAGCAGUGAAAUGCGUAGAUAUGCGGAGGAACACCGAUGGCGAAGGCAGCCUCCUGGGAUAACACUGACGCUCAUGCACGAAAGCGUGGGGAGCAAACAGG